UAAUACUAGGGGUGCGAGCGUUGUCCGGAAUCACUGGGCGUAAAGGGUCCGUAGGCGUCUCAAUAAGUCAUUUGUUAAAGACACCGGCUUAACCGGUGGGCUGCAUAUGAAACUGUUGAGAUAGAGUAUAGGAGAGGAAAGUGGAAUUCCUGGUGUAGCGGUGACAUGCGUAGAUAUCAGGAGGAACACCAAUGGCGAAGGCAACUUUCUGGCCUAUUGCUGACGCUGAGGGACGAAAGCGUGGGGAGCAAACAGGAUUAGAUACCCUGGUAGUCCACGCCGUAAACGAUGAGUACUUGGUGUCGGGGGAUUCGACCCCUUCGGUACCGGAGCUAACGCAUUAAGUACUCCGCCUGGGAACUACGACCGCAAGGUUG
rnacentral:rRNA from 1 species